rnacentral:rRNA from 1 species
CUAAUACUAGCCCAAACAAGACCAAACUUAACUAUAACACAAAAAUAAACUAAAACAUUCACUAUUCCUAAUAGUAUAGGCGAUAGAAAUUAUAAUUCUGGAGCUUUAGAGACAGUACCGUAAGGGAAAAUAGAAAGCAUGAAAGUAAAAAAAAGCAAAGAUUACCCCUUUUACCUUUUGCAUAAUGAUUUAAUCAGAACCUAUUAGCAAAGAGACCUUAAGUUAAUAACCCCGAAACCAGACGAGCUAUUCAAAAACAGCUUACAGAGCAAACCCGUCUAUGUGGCAAAAUAGUGGGAAGAUUUUUGAAUAGAGGUGAAAGGCCUAACGAGCCUGGUGAUAGCUGGUUGUCCAGAUAUGAAUUUAAGUUCAAAUUUAAACCUACCAUAAAGAAUUAAAACUUAAAUGUAGAUUUAAAGAAUAGUCUAAAAGGGUACAGCCUUUUAGACACAGGAUACAACCUUAAUUAGUGAGUAAGCAAAAAACUCAACCAUAGUGGGCCUAAAAGCAGCCAUCAAUUGAGAAAGCGUUCAAGCUCAACAAAAACCAAAACUUCUAAUUCCAUCAAUAUAAGCAAACUCCUAAUUAACAACUGGACCAAUCUAUUAUCAAAUAGAUGAGAUACUGUUAAUAUGAGUAACUAGAAUCUAUUCUCCUUGCACAAGUCUAUAUCAGAACCGAAACCCGCACUGAUAGUUAACCAAAAUGGUAUAAACCUUAAACUUAGCCCCCAUAAAGAAAUUGUUAACCCGACACAGGAGUGCACACAAAGGAACGAUUAAAAGAAGUAAAAGGAACUCGGCAAACACAAACCCCGCCUGUUUACCAAAAACAUCACCUCUAGCAUCACUAGUAUUAGAGGCACUGCCUGCCCAGUGACAUCAGUUCAACGGCCGCGGUAUCCUGACCGUGCAAAGGUAGCAUAAUCACUUGUUCUCUAAAUAGGGACUUGUAUGAAUGGCCACACGAGGGUUUUACUGUCUCUUACUUCUAAUCAGUGAAAUUGACCUUCCCGUGAAGAGGCGGGAAUAAAAAAAUAAGACGAGAAGACCCUAUGGAGCUUUAACUAACUAGUCUAAAAGAUAAACUUAACCCCUAAUGGAACAAAAACUUCUCCUAUAGGCUAGCAAUUUAGGUUGGGGUGACCUCGGAAUAUAAACAAACUUCCGAGUGAUUUUAAACUUAGACAAACCAGUCAAAGUAUCAACUAUCACUUAUUGAUCCAAGCAAUUGAUCAACGGAACAAGUUACCCUAGGGAUAACAGCGCAAUCCUAUUUAAGAGUCCCUAUCGAAAAUAGGGUUUACGACCUCGAUGUUGGAUCAGGACAUCCUAAUGGUGCAGCAGUUAUUAAGGGUUCGUUUGUUCAACGAUUAAAGUCCUACGUGAUCUGAGUUCAGACCGGAGUAAUCCAGGUCGGUUUCUAUCUAUUAAUGAGUCUUUCCCAGUACGAAAGGACAAGAAAGGCAGGGCCCACUUAACCAAAGCGCCCUAAGUGCUAAUAAAUGACAUUUUCUUAAAUUCCAAGCACACAAAUAAAAAGACCCUAGAACAGGGUUU